UACCAGCUCUCCGAGUGGUAGGGAUGAUUAUUGGGCUUAAAGCGUCCGUAGCCGGCUUAGCAAGUUUCCUGUUAAACCCAGCGACUCAAUCGUUGGAUCGCGGGAAAUACUACUAGGCCAGGAGGCGGGAGAGGUCAACGGUACUUCUGGGGUAGGGGUGAAAUCCUAUAAUCCCGGGAGGACCACCAGUGGCGAAGGCUGUUGACUAGAACGCGCUCGACGGUGAGGGACGAAAGCUGGGGUAGCAAACCGGAUUAGAUACCCGGGUAGUCCCAGCUGUAAACGAUGCGAGCUAGGUGUUGGGAUGGCUACGGGCCAUUUCAGUGCCGCAGGGAAGCCAUUAAGCUCGCCGCCUGGGGUGUACGGCCGCAAGGCUGAAACUUAAAGGAAUUGGCGGGGGAGCACCACAAGGCGUGAAGCUUGCGGUUC
rnacentral:rRNA from 1 species